AACUGCGUAUAAAUAGCAAAAUUUCUCAAUUUGUGACAAUAAACAACCAUGAAAGUUUUUACCAUAUUCUUUUUGGCUUUAGCCAUGUGCAUCGCCUGCACAACUUGUGACGGUAUUAGCCAGUACCACUUUACCAACCGCAUGGGUGACUCAUGUCUCUGUACUAAGCUCACAGGAAACCAUAAUGAACCAGAAAAUGGUUGUGUUUCCGAUGAUGAACGUCAAGUUGAAGAUAUGUCUGUUCUGACAUCUGCAAACUAUAUGGAUCCUGAACGUGCUGAUUAUAGUCUUCAGUCUAAUUAUGGGACUUACCCAAACAAACCAAAACCAACUGGAUCCAGGCGUUACUAUUACUACUAUGGCUAAUAUGUGAAAGUAUAUAUCGAUUACAUCUGUAUCUGUACAAAUGUAAUGAGAUUCUUUGUGAAUAAAUAAUCAAUGAGCAAUAACAAA